rnacentral:rRNA from 1 species
GACAGAGGGGGCAAGCGUUGCUCGGAAUUACUGGGCGUAAAGGGCGCGUAGGCGGGACGGCAAGUCGGUCGUGAAAUCCCUCGGCUCAACCGAGGAACGUCGAUCGAUACUGCUGUUCUUGAGGAUUGCAGAGGAGACUGGAAUUCCCGGUGUAGCGGUGAAAUGUGUAGAGAUCGGGAGGAACACCGGUGGCGAAGGCGGGUCUCUGGGCAAUUCCUGACGCUGAGGCGCGAAAGCGUGGGGAGCAAACGGG